rnacentral:rRNA from 1 species
GAUACUGGCAAGNUUGAGUCUCGUAGAGGGNGGUAGAAUUCCAGGUGUAGCGGUGAAAUGNNNAGAGAUCUGGAGGAAUACCGGUGGCGAAGGCGGCCCCCUGGACGAAGACUGACGCUCAGGUGCGAAAGCGUGGGGAGCAAACAGGAUUAGAUACCCUGGUAGUCCACGCCGUAAACGAUGUCGACUUGGAGGUUGUGCCCUUGAGGCGUGGCUUCCGGAGCUAACGCGUUAAGUCGACCGCCUGGGGAGUACGGCCGCAAGGUUAAAACUCAAAUGAAUUGACGGGGGCCCGCACAAGCGGUGGAGCAUGUGGUUUAAUUCGAUGCAACGCGAAGAACCUUACCUGGUCUUGACAUCCACAGAACUUUCCAGAGAUGGAUUGGUGCCUUCGGGAACUGUGAGACAGGUGCUGCAUGGCUGUCGUCAGCUCGUGUUGUGAAAUGUUGGGUUAAGUCCCGCAACGAGCGCAACCCUUAUCCUUUGUUGCCAGCGGUCCGGCCGGGAACUCAAAGGAGACUGCCAGUGAUAAACUGGAGGAAGGUGGGGGUGACGUCAAGUCAUCAUGGCCCUUACGACCAGGGCUACACACGUGCUACAAUGGCGCAUACAAAGAGAAGCGACCUCGCGAGAGCAAGCGGACCUCAUAAAGUGCGUCGUAGUCCGGAUUGGAGUCUGCAACUCGACUCCAUGAAGUCGGAAUCGCUAGUAAUCGUGGAUCAGAAUGCCACGGUGAAUACGUUCCCGGGCCUUGUACACACCGCCCGUCACACCAUGGGAGUGGGUUGCAAAAGAAGUAGGUAGCUUAACCUUCGGGAGGGCGCUUACCACUUUGUGAUUCAUGACUGGGGUGAAGUCGUAACAAGGUAACCGUA